CCUGUAGGAGGUGGUUCUGAAACGAGCGAUUACGCGUCAUUCAUAUUUCAUCCAUAAGGUCGGAUAUCUGCCUGAGGAUGUCGUGCAUCUCCUCACUGUCAUGCUGAAACCGGUUCUCGGCGCAGUCUUCCAUCUGUGAGUGCACAGAACCAUUGGCGAUCUUCUCUGACAAGCGAUGGAAUCUCACCUCCGAGGCAAAAAGGGUCAUCACCAGACUGCUGCAGACACCUGUCCCACGGCAUUCUGGUUCCACAGGUACAAGCCCAGGGGUCCAUGCAGGGUCUCAUAGGGUCUGCUGAAGGCAUUGAACAGGAAGAACGCUGAGGCCACCGCUGAGAAGACUAUGAGGACAGCGCAGAAGAACAGUACACUGCCGUGAAGGACGAUGGGGAUGGCACCCAUGAGAUCUGGAAAAACUGGCAGGAAACAGAAAACAUGGAGUGAGGAAGAAAAGAUCAGGAGGAGCCCAGUUUGCAGUAGGAAGAAGCCAGCUUCAUAACUACAAAACAGGAUUUUCCAUUAAUAUGAACCACUCAUAAAACUAUUGGAAAAGCGCAGAGGUCUCCCUCCCAAACCGCACUGCUUCAGCCGCUGUCCGUGGAAUAGACCGUAGCUGAUCCGCCCCAUGAACUUCUCCAGUUCGGGUCCGGUCGCGUUGACCA